GUGCUUGCUUUGGCAACACACAGACUAAAACUGGAACAACACAGAGAAGAUUAGCAUGGCCCUGCACAAGGAUGACAUGCAAAUUUGUGAAGCAUUCCCUAUUUUU